ensembl:lncRNA
GUCAGUCUCCUCCCUCCUUCACUACCAGAAUCACUCCUGUCCUUUCCCGGCCCUCAGGGGACAGGCAGGAAGGGGCGGGCCUAGCCGGGUCAGGACCUCAGGGCGAGGUAGGACUGUCUCAGUAUCUCUUACGUACAGCAGAGAGGCAAAUGCCACCAGCUACAUGCAAAGGGGUGCCAAGGCUGAGCUGCAGAAACAUGUCCUCCAAAGGCAGGGUCACAGGAAGGUAAGGGCAACAGAACUGAACCAUUUCCCGGGGCAGACCUGCCGCAGAGCCUGCACUGUUCCGGGCAUCUUGCAUUUGACUCCGUCGUUCGAUCCCCACGGCAGCGCUCUGACCCGGGUGUUAGCACCAGCCUGGAGAUUUUCAAAUCGAGGCUCAGAACAGGUACCUAUCAAGGCUUCAUCACUGCUGAAGUAGCAGAAGUGGGAUUUGAACCCGGGGCUGCUUGACUCCAGAGUCCAGGAGGACCUCUGAUAGUAAUAACAUUUUACAUUCUGUUUUGUAUUUGGAUCAACUAGCCCAAGAAGUGGUGUUGUCUGCUCUUGAACUUGGCAUACACAAGGGAUUAGCUGAGGACGGCAAGCUUUGUCUUGUCCACACACAGAUUUGAUUUUGAAAUCGCCAGAUUGCAGAUAUUUGAAAGUAGCUUUGCCAAGACUCACGCAGGCGCGUUUGUUUUCCCAAACUUCUGAAAGACAUUCCUCCAUAAAUGAAUCUCCCAGAGGAGAGCGGGUAUUAGAGAGAGGGCGUCCAGGGGCUCCCCACCUCCAACGAGGGCCUCAUCGGGAUAGACGCGCAUCACAACAGGCAUGGACGAGAAAACCAGUGGGUAGAAAAGGGUGCCUCAUCACGUGAGCUCCUAAAAGGGCUUGAGCGUUUUACUCCAAGCGAGCAGUGCUCACCUUCAUGGUAGGCUGAGAGCAAGAGCAUUCGACAGCCUUCCUUCUGUGGCUCCAAAGCCGUCAGAGGUUUACAGAACGUCUAUGUGGAGGUUCGAUCUUACCUUCUACCCGAAGUCCCUCCAACCUGUUUCCCUCAAGGUCUGAACUCUUCCCCCUCUGGAUUUUUGCCUGAAGCUCUCCCUUGAGCAAUAGGCUGUCUAAUGAUAUCCCCAGUUUUCUAGAAUUAAAUAGAGGGACUGCUCUGGAUUGAGUUGUGUUCCCACAAAAUUCAUGUCCACCUGGAGCCUCAGAAUGUGACAUUAUUUGGAAAUAGGGUCUUUGCAGAUGUAAUUAGCUAAGAUGAGGUCAUCCUGAAUUCGGGCGGGCCCUAAAUCCAAUGACUGGUGUCCCUCUAAGAGAGAGGAGAGGGAGAAUUACAGACUCCGGCGAGCAAGAAGGCCAUGUGAGGACAGAGGCAGAGAUUGGAGGGAUGCAUCUCCAGGCCCAAAACACCGAGGACUGCUGGGACCCAUCGGAAGCUGGAAGAAGCAAGGGAGGCUUCUCCCCUAGAGCCUUCAGGGGAAGCAUGGCCCGCUGACACCUUGAGUUUGGACUUCUAGCCGCCAGAACUGUGAGAGAAUACAUUUCUGUUGUUUGAAGUCACCCGUUCAUGGUAAUUAGUUCUGGCAGCCCUAGGAAACUAGUACGGGGGCUCUCAUUUGGCUCUCUAAAUAAAAAGCUUCUUGUAUUAUGAACA